rnacentral:rRNA from 2 species
CAGCCGCCGCGGUAAAACCAGCACCUCAAGUGGUCAGGAUGAUUAUUGGGCCUAAAGCAUCCGUAGCCGGCUCUGUAAGUUUUCGGCUAAAUCUGUACGCUCAACGUACAGGCUGCCGGGAAUACUGCAGAGCUAGGGAGUGGGAGAGGUAGACGGUACUCGGUAGGAAGGGGUAAAAUCCUUUGAUCUAUUGAUGACCACCUGUGGCGAAGGCGGUCUACCAGAACACGUCCGACGGUGAGGGAUGAAAGCUGGGGGAGCAAACCGGAUUAGAUACCCGGGUAGUCCCAGCUGUAAACUAUGCAAACUCAGUGAUGCAUUGACUUGUGGUCAAUGCAGUGCUGCAGGGAAGCCGUUAAGUUUGCCGCCUGGGAAGUACGUACGCAAGUAUGAAACUUAAAGGAAUUGGCGGGGGAGCAC